rnacentral:rRNA from 1 species
GACGAACGCUGGCGGCGUGCUUAACACAUGCAAGUCGAACGGAAAGGCCCUGCUUUUGUGGGGUGCUCGAGUGGCGAACGGGUGAGUAACACGUGAGUAACCUGCCCUUGACUUUGGGAUAACUUCAGGAAACUGGGGCUAAUACCGGAUAGGAGCUCCUGCUGCAUGGUGGGGGUUGGAAAGUUUCGGCGGUUGGGGAUGGACUCGCGGCUUAUCAGCUUGUUGGUGGGGUAGUGGCUUACCAAGGCUUUGACGGGUAGCCGGCCUGAGAGGGUGACCGGCCACAUUGGGACUGAGAUACGGCCCAGACUCCUACGGGAGGCAACAGGGGGGAAUAUUGCACAAUGGGCGGAAGCCAGAUACAGAAACGCCGCGUGCGGGAUGACGGCCUUCGGGUUGUAAACCGCUUUCGCCUGUGACGAAGCGUGAGUGACGGUAAUGGGUAAAGAAGCACCGGCUAACUACGUG